CCUUCCUAUUAAAAAAUAAGUUUUCAAAUUAGGAUAAACGAUUUUACAUAUUCCACUUUAAAAUGUGCAAGAAGUUUUACAAAAUUCUUUUAGAUUGCAGGUGAUAAAGGCUGGACUGACCAUCCUUUAAGCAGCACGCAUUGCACGAACCACUGGGAAUACCAGGAGAACACGGUACAAACGGCCUCUCCCUCAUAAUCCUCUGGCCUCCCCUGCCCUCUCCGGAAAACACCUGCCUCUGGUGACUGUUGUGAAGACGCACAUGUGCGGUGUAGACCACCCCAUACAAAGUUGGUGCCGAAAACGGGGUACGUUCUUAUCAUUGUUGCUGUCAGACCAAAGGGUAAGAGUUUGUCCCUUGCAUGAAACCCGUGGAUCUCCAGGAUAGGGAAAGCCAGAAGAAAGCGCGUGCGACUUUCCGGAUCGGAAGCAGCUUCCUUUCCUCUCAGUCCAACUUUCACUGCAGCCACUGCUUUGGCGACCAGCCCAGCACAAGCGAACCGGAAGCACGCCUGCCGGCACUGGCUUCCGGUCUACCCAGGCUGCUCUGCAGCGGCGCAUGCGCAGCACGACAGGCCGUUUUCCUUGAGGCGUAAUUGCUGACCGCGUGUCGUGUGGGCCCGACCGUAGACGCUCGAGAGUUCUAAGUCUCGCUGGGUAAAAUCAUACGAACGUGAGUCAAUGCCUGUGACAGAUGAAAGGAGGAUCAUCACCAACGUGCUGAUGUUCAUCAUCCCUGGAUGUGGGGCUGCAGAGAGAGAGUCGGCCAUCUUGAGACCAUGAGGAAACAAGUUUAAGAACCAAGCCAAUAUAAAGGAUGGGGGAGCAGAGAGAAGGAAAGAAGCCGAAUCAUCAUUGACAUUGUUGUGCUCUGAACCAACUCAAGAAUUGUCCCCUACCCGUGGGCCUCCUCUUAUAUGACAUCAGUAAACCUUUU
rnacentral:lncRNA from 1 species